UGACCUCAGAUCAGACAAGGAUACCCGCUGAACUUAAGCAUAUCAAUAAGCGGAGGAGAAAG
rnacentral:rRNA from 1 species